GACACAUCUGACCAAUGAGUUGCAUGUUACCAUGUCAGAAGUAGCAAGGAUAUGAGCAUAGAGAUAAUUGUUUACAAUGGCAAGAAGGGAUUGAUUAACAUUCUAAUUUGAAACCAUUUGCGCAUGUAUUGAGAAAGCGAGAGAGCGUGAGCGCGACACCGGUGUGGGGACUAGAAUAGACAUAUGCAUGCGCAAUAUGCUGGUUUGACAGAGCAGAGGCUGGCAUAUGCGCGCUGGACUGCGCAUCACUCCAACACCACGCGGGGACUCACAAAUAAUGAUUCUAUAGAAGAGUAUUCUCUAGUUUCGUAGAACAUUUGCAAGAGUGAGCCUUCCAACAGACAGAGGAUGACCUAGAAGCCACCACUGCUGAGCCCAACAGAGGAUAAUAUCACUUGUGUGUGUAAGCAACAAAGGUGUGUGACAGCGCACAGGGCUCCACCUGCACCCAGGUCAGCCUGGCAAACAUGGGGGACCACGUCACACUUCUGCCCCCCUUCCUACAGCUGCUCCUCUGUAGCCUGUCAGGGGUAUGGGGGUUCCCCUUCGGCCCUGUCCUUGACGUCACCCCCAGGACCACGGUGCUCUACCAAGGCCUGCUGGGUUGCCAGCGGUUCAGCAGCCCAUCUCAGAACUACAGCACACUGCUACUGGAGGAGGACAAUGGGGUGCUGUAUGUAGGGGCCAGGGGGGCUCUCUACGCCCUGGACACCACCAACAUCUCUACACCUGGCAAUCUCACGAUUGAUUGGGAAGCUUCGGCAGAGCAGAAGAAGCAGUGUCUCAACAAAGGAAAAGACAAUCAGACAGAUUGUUACAAUCACAUCCGCUUCCUGCAGAGGUACAAUGAGACUCACCUGUACGUCUGUGGCACGCACGCCUUCAGGCCCCUCUGUGCUUACAUAGAUGUGGAACGCUUCAGUUUCUCCUCUGGCUUCGAAGAGGGCAGGGACAGGUGUCCCUACGACCCAGCCAAGGGCUACACCGGCCUCCUUGUGGACGGUGAGAUGUUCUCAGCCUCCCAGUAUGAGUUCCGCAGCUCUCCGGAUGUCCGUCGGAACUUCCCCUUCCCCACUCUGAGGACAGAGGAGGCCCCCACCAGAUGGCUGCUGGAGGCGGACUUUGUGGGCUCGGCGCUGCUGAAGGAGAGUGUCAACAGCUCAGUGGGCGACGACGACAAGAUCUACUUCUUCUUCACAGAGAGGAGCCAGGAGCAGAUGGCCUACCCCAGCCAGACCAGGGUGGCACGGGUGGCCCGCAUCUGCAAGGGUGACUGGGGGGGCCAGAGGACCUUGCAGAGGAAGUGGACGUCCUUCCUGAAGGCCAGGCUGGUGUGCUCCGUUCCUGACUACGAGCUCCACCUCAAUGUGCUGCGUAGUGUCUUCGUACUGGAGGCCCGAGACAUACACAGCACCGUCUUCUACGGGAUCUUUGGCCUGGAAUGGAAAAAUAUCAAGGCAUCUGCGGUGUGCCAGUACUCCUUCACAGAUAUUCAGAGGGCCUUCGAGGGGCCUUACAUGGAGGUGCAGGAUUCCAAAUGGAGGGAAUAUACAGGGAAGGUUCCAGUACCAAGGCCUGGCUCGUGUAUGACAGACGUGCACAGGUCCCAGGGCAUCAACUCGUCCCGUGACCUCCCAGACGACGUGUUAGCCUUUGCGAGGCAGCACCCCCUGAUGUCCACCCAGAUCCACCCCAUAGGAGAGCACCCCCUACUGUUCAAGAGAAGUGUCAAUUACGUAAAGAUGGUCGUGCACAGGGUGGCAGCUCUGGACCGACACGUCUACACAGUGCUCUUGUUGGGAACUGAUGAGGGUUGGCUGCACAGGGCUGUGGAGAUAGGAGGUCAAAUGCACAUCAUAGAGGAGCUGCAGCUGUUUGUGAACCCUCAGCCUAUAGACAACAUGGUCAUCUCCCAGGCACAGGAAAGUGUCUAUGUUGGCUCCAACUCUGCAGUGCUCCAGGUCCCCUUGUCCUCCUGCCAGCGCUACACGUCCUGUUUCGACUGUGUGUUUGCCCGGGACCCCUUCUGUGGCUGGGAUGGGGCGCUGUGUGUGAAAAUUUCCUCACGCACAAACAGGUCCAAUCUAACCCAGGAUAUACAGGGGGGGAAAAGAGGCUGUGACAACAGCACAGGAGUUGUCCACCGCAGGCGUACAGUGAUGUCUGGGGACGAUGUCCUCCUCCAUUGCGAUCUGCGUUCCAACCUGGCCACUCCACGCUGGACCCUGGAUGGCCACCAGCUCCAGGGCUACGGCCUCGACUCGGGCCAUCGUGUGGGCACUGACGGCCUGCUCCUCAUCUGCGCCAGGCCCGACCAGAGCGGAGACUAUCGCUGCUACGCCGUGGAGAACGACGUGUGGGUACCAGUGAGGAUGUACACCGUGACGGUUCAACCUGACCUGCCUUUCCCUGUGAGGCCAACAGUCAUGACGGACACUUUAUCAACCACCACCACUACCGCCCCACCAAGCCCUUCCCUUCCCCCCAGCAGCCCCACCGAGCAGCCCCUGCCCUCCCUGCUGGCUCCCCUCCCCCCUGGACCCAAGUUCCAGACCUACAGGCACAUGGAGGCCGUGUAUAUCUCCCUGGUGGCCGUGCUGGGCGGGCUGUGCCUGGUGCUGACCGUAGUGCUGCUCUACGUCAGCUUCUGCAGCCGGGGGCCAUACCAGGGCCGCAAGUACUCCCAGCAGGGGCUGCCCGAGUCGGGGGCCGCAGCCGAGAGGAAGAGGAGCUCCCACCUGGAGCUCAAGACCAUCUCCAGCCACUGCAACGGCAGGCAGGAAAGCGAGCACGGACGCCGCUCCCUGUCAGUAUCCAACAUGGACGACAUGGGCGAUGGCUUCCUCCAGAUCGUGCCCGCAGAAGGAUCUCCCGGGAAAUCGCCGCCCCCUCCCGCUCCGCCGCUCCCAAUGCCACCACCCCUGCCCUCCUCGGAGUACGUGUCGUCAGAGUAUACCAACGGGAUGUCGGCGACAUUACCCAGCGUCCUACGCAAGAUGAACGGCAACAGCUACGUGCUGCUGAGGCAGACGACGGACCCAGAGGGGAGCACGUCUCCCCUCUACCACUCGUUCACCGAAGAGCUCAACCGCAUCCUGGAGAAGAGGAAGCACACGCAACUGGACCCCCAGGAGACAGACGAUAGCUCCGUCUAGCCCCACCUUGAGCUCUUUCCUGUUGAUCUGUUUAUUGGUUUAACCCAACUACAAAAUAGUGCCCCCAAGAGGCAGGGAGGUCUAAAUUGUAUUAUACAGCUUUAGUUUACCCAGUGCCAAAGCGACCUGUGGGAGUAUUCAUACCUAAAAACCCAAUGUGCAACUUCCCGUGACUCGAGACGAGUGACCCACCCACAUAAUUUCACUAUUGAACAUUGGAGUAAAGAGGACUUUGUGACCUUUCCCUAACUGGAGCAGUCAUGGAUAUCGUCAUGGUAUCCAUUUUGGACACACACUGUACUAGUGCAUGGACCCUUUGAUGAACUUCCAAGCAAAUACAUGAUACAUACACAAGUUAGUUACAAUCCUACCUCAGACCCUAACCCUAUUGUGGAAGCUGGUCAAUUACGAUAAGUUUCAGUGCUGGUCUAGACAGCUGACAUACUGACAGAGAGCGCUGUGAUGCAUCGUGGGACAAGGGACACAGACAUGAGAGUCCAGAUCAUAUGACCAAUGACCAUGAAGUAAGAUGGUAAUGAUUCGACUGAGGAACUAUUCAAGCCUGUAUGAACAAUAUAGACCAUCUUCGGAACUGUUGAAUUUAGACAACGAUGGCUACUGUAGUUUAGUGCCACACAGUGUACUUAUAUGAUGGCUCUUAAAGACCCAGACCUACUGAACAAAUAAUACACUUCAGUCAUAACUCAAUAACACACACUUAUCUUUCUUUUCUUUUGUUCUCAUGUAAAUAGCUAUUAUAUUUCUGUGGCAACCAUCAGUAGCAACUUUGGAAAUAAUGGCAAUUGAAAUGGUUGUAGCGAAACCAAAUUGAAAUUAUUUUUUGCAUCUUUGUGUUGUUAGCAUCUGACAGAGAGGUGUCAGAGAGAUAAAACAGCAGUAUUAUAGAUAGACAGCAGGCUUCAUCUAAGCUUGGCCGAAUUAACACUAUCAUUGAAGGAUGAAGACUAUCAUGAAGGACUGAUCUCUCGCCAGAUUGAUCAGAGAAGAUGAGUGAUGAUGAUGAUGAAGACGGUGGGACCUGAUUGCCAGAAAUGUGUGAGCCCAACAGGAGACAAGAAAGCAAAGAUACACAAGGAGAUGGAGAAGCUGGUGAAUGGAAGAUGAAGUGUGUGACGAACCCUGAUGAUCUGAGCCAGUGUCUGCUCAAAACACACCAAAGGACAACCAGUGUGUUCAAUCUCCGCUGGCAGUGAACUUGGAUGCGGCUAUGGAUAUUGUACUGUACUUGCUACUUAUGGUCAAAUGGCAAACAUGCUGGCUGCUACACUCAAAACACACCUUCAGUAUACUGUAUACCUCCAGUACACACCUUCAGUAUACUGUAUGUCCCCAUAAACAGUGUGGAAGUCUAAUUUCAACAAACAUAGGCACUCACGUCAUACAGACAUGACAACGUUCAAGUCAAGGUUUAGACAUGAACUCUACGUCACCUACAGAAUACAUUUGAGUGAACAAUGACUAAAAGACGCAUUUGCACUAUACCUCUUCUGAGGACUUAUUUGCUCUGUACAUAAGAACAUCACCCUUGUAAAGUGUUACAUCCAUGUGCUACAUCCAUGUGCUACAUCCAUGUGCUACAUCCAUGUGCUACAUCCAUGUUAUGUGUUUUGUUGUUUUCUGGCUCGAUGUAGAAAUUACGAAUACUUUACAAUCUACACUGAACAGAAAUAAGCGCAACAUGUAAAGUGUUGGUCCCAUGUUUCAUGAGCUGAAAUAAAAAAAAUC